rnacentral:rRNA from 1 species
UACAGAGGUCUCAAGCGUUGUUCGGAUUCAUUGGGCGUAAAGGGUGCGUAGGCGGCGCGGUAAGUCGGGUGUGAAAUCUCGGAGCUUAACUCCGAAACUGCAUUCGAUACUGCCGUGCUUGAGGACUGGAGAGGAGACUGGAAUUUACGGUGUAGCGGUGAAAUGCGUAGAUAUCGUAAGGAAGGCCGGUGGCGAAAGCGAGCCUCUGGACAGUUACUGACGCUGAGACGCGAAAGCGUGGGGAGCGAACCGG